UUUAAAAAAAUUCUCAAUGUCUUUUACUUUCAAUAAUCCAUAUUAUUUUUAAUAGUAUUUGCUUCUUUAGGGGGAACUGCAAUGUCUCUUGUUCUUGCAUCUUAGUCUGGCUACACUUGGGAAUCAAUUAAAAACUGUGUACUAUUAAUAGUUUGUAGGGCAAAAAAGAGGAUAUAGUAGAAGAGAAAAAUGUUUAAACCUCGAGUCAAUAAUAUGGAGAACAAUGGUACUGCCAUCGAGUGUAAUAAUACAAUUAAUUAGUAAUAAAAUCACUAGAUAAAUAAAUAUGCCUCUGAGGUUUUGAUUGUCAAACAAAAUCUAUCUUAUGUAAUCUCAGUUCAAAUACAGAUACUUGCAAAAGAAAAUGUAGGGUAUAAGUAUGUGGUAGGAGUGUAAUUAGCAAGAGAUAAUUUCAGAAAAAAAGAUAUGGUGUGGCAAUAUGCUAUUAUGGUAGUCAGAAUGAGACUAGAUAAAUGAGAAGAAAUAGAUAAAUAAGAGGGAAAGAAAAGGGGGGAUUUGAUCCUUGAAGAUACUGAAAGAUUGAAAAGGAAAAAGAUAUAUUAUAUGUAGAAUAUAGAGGUAUAAUUUUAAGGUGCAGCCCCCAGCCUUGUCUCCCCAGAAUCAAAAGACAUGGUAUGAAAACAGAUAUAGUGGGAUUGGGGUAGGAGAAGAGUAGAACUAGUAAAUCACAAUGACUAAGGUCCAGGCAGGGCCAGGCACAAAACAAAGAGGAUAGGUACUCAGCAGAUUUUUAAAUUAACUAGUGCAUAUUUUGGCUCUACUAAAUUAUGGUAAGCAGCUGCAAUUUGACUACUUGUAUAUAGGUUUUGGACUCAAUGAAGCAAACAUCUGUCCCCAAAGAAUGAACUGAGGCCAAGAAAGAUCAGUCGCUCAGCUAAGGAGGAAAAGCCAAACCUGGAGUACUCUCUUCUGACUCACUGAGCUGGAUUUCCCUUACCUGGGAUCACACUGUCUAGACCCAAGAAAACCUCCUCUUUGAUUAGGGGGAGAAGCAGUCUAAAUCUGGAAACAAGACCCAAUAGAUGGACGCUUGUGAGCCCUCGGUCCUGGCAACCCCAGUUCUCCCAUCUUGGUUCUCACUGCAUGGAGGUGCACAGACAACAUGGCAGAAGGCAGCAACUGGAGAAGAUUUUUUCCCUACCAAACUUCCUUUAUUCCCAGUGACAGUCAAACAAGGAACUGUCCUAUGUGAGGAAGAACGUUUGGACCUUCCAGCACAGAAUGAAGCAAAGGUUUAAAGAGGAGGAUCUGUGGUUCUGGGGAAGAUGGUUGGAAUGGAUGUCCCCCAAUGAGGAAGACCAGUGAUGGCCUUUGAGGAUAGCAGUGUCCUUCGAACCCAGUGGCCCUGCUCCUCUUCACAACCUGGAAAGCCACCUCUGUGGACCAGUCCUCUGUGCUGGCCCCUUGAUCAGUGUGAUGUUUCUGCUUCUCUGCACCUUGCUUGGCAGCUGCCGAAGAAGAUUUUUUGUCCAGUUGAAACAUACCAUGAACUUGAGGCACCUGCAAAGGUGCUUCUUCACAAGAUAAAGGAAGAUAUGGGCACUGGCCAACUCUUCUUCAUGCAUGAAAUGGGCCAUAGGGACUGGGACAAUCAUAUUUCAGUGGGAAGUGGAGCUGUCACUCUUCUUAUUCUCAGAGAGACAUGCUAAGUGUCUGCUGGCCACCCUCCUGGGCUUCCUUUCUGCUUGAUAUCCUGAACCCUUCCAUGGCUCUCAUGUCUCCUUCCUUUUUUUUCCAUCCUACAUCCUGUAUCCUGGAACAGACUCACUCAGGGAGCCAUCACAGACAGGAUAAUGAUA